GGUAAAUAACACAGUACAAAUUGUUUUGAUGAUUGGUGUCUGAAGCAUUUGGAUUUCUGGUGAGUCUAAAUAUGCCAGCCUUAAAUGUUAGAGAAGGUGCUGACUUCUCCAAGAACGUAAGUUUCUAUAGGACACCUUGAGUCUUUUUUAUGGUAUACAGGAAAAAAUUAAGAGAGUCAUAUGUACUUGCUUCUAGUCUGGUUAUUUUACCCAUAGCUUAAAUAACAAAUAAAAGUGUACAUAUGUACAAGAAAAAGAUAGGGAAUCGAGGUAGCCGAGAAGUCUCUGGCCAUGCGUAGUGGCUGUAUUAGCGGGCUCUAUAACACUUCCUGUUCCAUAUACAUAUCUGGGCUUAAUAG
rnacentral:lncRNA from 1 species